rnacentral:lncRNA from 7 species
CUUUGAUGCAUAUUAUUAGAAUUAGUUUGUUAGUUAAAAUUUGAUGCAUGAUUUUUGGGUAGUUUUUACAAUUGAUGCAUAAUUUCUUGUUCAUUGUAAAUUAUUCGAUGUUAGGUUCAAUGUUUGGUUAAUUUUUUAUGUCUAGUGAUCCUUCCUAAUAGAAGAAGGGCUUAAUGAUGUUUAUUUACACAUUUUUUAUUUAUGUUUGUAUGCAUAAUGAUGUUUAUUUACACAUUUUUUAUUUAUGUUUGUAUGCUUAAUGAGGUUUACUUACAUAUUUUUUAUACAUUGAGUUAUUUAGUUUUUGAAAUGGA